AAUGACACACCAUUAGUCCAAUCACACUGACAAAUGUUAAUGCAGUUCCAACGUGGACAUCUGCCAUAAAAGUCUAUCAAACAGUGUAGUCUAGCUGCUUUCUAGGUAGCAUCCAAAAAAUGUUUUAUUUAUAAAUUAUUGGCAAGUUUAAAUUGGAAAAAAAUCUGUUCUGAUGAGAAGGUAUUACUGUAAAUGGAGCAUCCUGAUUAGUAAGCAGUUUGGUGAAAUUCCAAGACCAUAAUAACUGAGACCUGGGACAGAACAGAGCUACGGUCUUCAAAUAUCUGUGUGCAGACAGAACAGAGCCAGCACUCCUCUAAGAGCCCCACUGACUAUAUUAAUAUAUAAAAAGAGUAAUUAGAUUUUUAAAUUUAAUUAAAAUUUAUAUUACGAUCAUCACAGUGAUGUGAAUUAAUGUCAAUACUCAAUCGAUGUAUUAUAAUUAUUGUUUAUUUUCCCCCUCAUUUUUGGGUUCUGUCAUGAACUCUACCAUCUGUAUAUAUUUGUAGAUAUCUGCGCUGAUUUUAUUAAAAAAAAAGUAAAAAUAAAAACAAAAGUACCUAAAUACAAGCGGGGGUUUGGGCUUUAGAAACUCGCAAUGCAACGCAAUUUCCACGUAUAUCCACGUUUUUGGAAAAUACGCGCAGACUCAAAGAAACAUUUCUUAUGAUAGUCAGAAAAACGCAUCGCCAGAGACGACGUCGCAUGACGUGACGUUAUCAGGAAGCGCGACCAGACGCAGGAGCGUCAACAAAAACAAUGGGGGAAAAGGGUCGCGACAAACGUACUUUGCAUGAAGUCACAGAUGGACAUCUCCAUUAUAUACCCCUGGCCUGGGUACUUCAACAGCUGUCCAUCAAACUCCUGUUCGCUCUCAGAUCUCCACUCCUGUCUAUAGAUGACAGAAGACAGCAAAGCCCUCGGUCCUCUCCCCCCCUGCAGUGAACACUUCUGAUUCACCGAUAACCUGUGGUUCCAAACUCCUGGCCCGGCGUCCACUUCCGGCCCCCGAACCUCCUCACAUCUGGCCUGACGGCGACGUUAUAACAUUUUCUGCAAGCGGCUCAUCUGGGGAAAAACACACUCGCUGGAGGCUUCAAAAGUACACCUGCCAGGCCCAAAGACAACAAGAUGAGUGGUUGUCAAGAACGUCUCAAUUCAAGCAGGCAGAAAUUUCCUGUAGGUGGCGAGACAAAUCCCAAUCCCUCAGAGCUGAAGGUUAAGAAAAAGAGCAAAAAGUGAGGGGGAAAAAAAAAAGGACAAAUAGUGGUGGGAGUCCAUUGAAACAUAUGUUAUUUAGACAGUUUGAAUUGAACUUUUGAGAAAAAAAAACAAACAAAGUUUGUCAAUUCAAAUUGUUCUUUACUAGAUUAAUCAUGAUUAAUGUGCGUGUUGCUGGAACAGAAAGAUGA